rnacentral:rRNA from 1 species
AGUCUUUGCCAUACCAUCACGAAUGUGCAUGAUUUCAUCUAAUAUCGGGAGCUAAGCAGCGUUGGGUCUGGUUAGUACUUGGAUGGGAGAACAUCCUGACAUUAUCACCU